rnacentral:snRNA from 1 species
AGCUCCUUCUGGAAAUGCCAUCUGCUAAAGUCGUAACGAUACAAAGAGGACUAGCAUGGCCCUUGCCCAAGGAUGACACAACAACAGCAUACUGCUGGAUGAGGCAUUU